CUUGGUGCUUUCAGUCGACUACUCACUCCUCAAAGAUCAAAAGUAGAAGACAAAAGCCUCAAACAGUUGAAAACGAAACUCUCCAUGUUCAUGCUUCCAGAAUUCACAACCAAUAUUGUUCAAAAGGGAUUGCCUCUACCAUUACGAUUCAAAGCUUUUGAUUCAUGCUUUGUCGAGAUUCUCAAGGAAAGAUACAGUCAAAGUUCAGUUCAUUGAUUUUUCAGUGAAGAAGAAAGAGGUCUAGCUUUUGGACUCUUUGCUGGAGAUUUACCUCCAGGUUCAUUUAAUUUGAUUCUAUGCAGAAAGGUGUUCGUGUGGUUCUAUCGCCGCUGUUCCUUUGCACAUUGUUUGGUAUUAUUUCAAUGUUGUAUACUUCUUUAGCUCUUUGGGACAGCGUGCUAUCAAGCCCUUUGGCUAUUUCAAAUUCAGUUAUGGCGCCGAAAAUUCUUCAAUUAGAAGGACAGUCAAACUGCUGAAAUUGAAGCCAGGAACAAAAAGAGAUUUCCUUAUAAAGGGGAUAUACAAAGAUGUUCACAAGUUCACACCAACCCAAGAUAUCGAACCAACAACUUCCACGCGAAAUCCUCUUAGGUUUGGAAAGAAGAGGAAGGAAUUGUUCAAAGCAAAACCAAGCAAGAACCCGAAAA